GAUGAACGCUAGCUACAGGCUUAACACAUGCAAGUCGAGGGGAAACGCCAUCGAAAGCUUGCUUUUGAUGGGCGUCGACCGGCGCACGGGUGAGUAACGCGUAUCCAACCUGCCCAUCACUUGGGAAUAACCUUGCGAAAGUAAGACUAAUACCCAAUGACAUCCCACGAAGACAUCUGAAUGGGAUUAAAGAUUUAUCGGUGAUGGAUGGGGAUGCGUCUGAUUAGCUUGUUGGCGGGGUAACGGCCCACCAAGGCAACGAUCAGUAGGGGUUCUGAGAGGAAGGUCCCCCACAUUGGAACUGAGACACGGUCCAAACUCCUACGGGAGGCAGCAGUGAGGAAUAUUGGGCAAUGGGCGAGAGCCUGAACCAGCCAAGUAGCGUGCAGGAUGACGGCCCUAUGGGUUGUAAACUGCUUUUAUAAGGGAAUAAAGUGGGUCUCGUGAGACUUUUUGCAUGUACCUUAUGAAUAAGGACCGGCUAAUUCCGUG
rnacentral:rRNA from 1 species